AACUCUACUUACAGGUAUGUUGACAAUCAAAACAGGCUAUGUUUCCAGGGUACAACCCAAGCUAUUCAAUGUGAAGAUAUUGGUGGAUCUCCUUAUGGCUUUGAUUUCACGAGUUUUGAUGAUAUCUUGAACAGUAAUGCUGUUUCAAACUCUACAGUCGAUGUCAUUGGUUAUUUGACUCGCUCAUUUCCAAAAGAGACUGUAAAUAACAAAGCAAGUGGAAAGCAAUCUGUUAAAGUUACCAUAGAGAUUUCAGAUCUGGAGCGUCGGACAUUAUUUCUUACUCUAUGGGAUCAAUACUGUGAUCAAGUUUUGUCGUUUUUUGAGACUAUCAAAGGGAAAAAUGUUCAUGCAAUCAUUAUAUUGCAGUUUGGGAAGGUCAAGUGGUGG